CAGGCAGCUUUUCAACACAAGACCCCUACCCCUGAACUUCAUCGUGUUCACCUCACUUUUAACUCCAUCUCUAUCCAGAACUCAACAGCCUCAAGCCACCAACGCCAUUCUUCCAUAGCCCAGCCCCAUCUCCGCCUGGAGCACCUUUCACCAAACCGAAAAACCUUAACCAGUCCCACACGCAGCAGCCGGGCUUCAUUUACGAAAAGAAACACACGCACACAGAUCAGCCCACUCACACACAUGCACGCACAUACGAGAACUCAGAGGAAAAGGAUUCAUGAGUUUCGUUUGUUCCGAUUUCCAAUUUUUCCGUUUCGGAUUUGUCGAGUUCUUCGCCGAAACUAGAUGAGAUCCGUUGAGCUGAGGUGCCGAUUCGAAGGUGGCUCGUAGUUCCGUUCGAAUUUGAUCGCGGUCUUGGAUUUUGCUUGUAGCUGCGCUAUCCUGUCCGUUGUAAUCUGCUGAAAAUUUUCUGUCAAUUGAAAGAUUUAUUUAAGGAAAUGAAGGCCUCGCUUUCUAAGGAUCUCGUCGAUCUUCGUUCGAUGCUGCUGGAGGGUGUAGGGAAACAGAGAACGAACUCUUUUCAACCUUGAGACCGGGCUAUGGAUGCCAAAUUAUGGUAGUUUCAAGGAGAGAAUCCGGAGGCUUGGAUAUUCCAAGCGGAGCGUUAUUUUGAGUUCUAUAGAAUUGAGGUUGAUCUGAAGCUUACCAGGGCGUCAUUCUACCUUGAUGGUGACGCACUGAAAUGGUACCAAUGGUUGUAUAGGAACAAUCAAUUAAUUGAUUGGCCGCAUUUUGCUGAUAAAGUGAGAACUCGAUUUAAACAGAAAGGGCUCAAGUCGGAAGGGAGAUUAGCGAAGAGGAGUUGUAUGACCAACUAAUCUUUCUUGCAAAACUAUGGUAGACAAUCUGACUGCAAAAAACAAAAUUCAUGCGCAUUAGGUGUUUGAUGAAUCAUCUGAUAGGUCCAAAGGUGCAUAUUCUCUUGUUUUGAGCCAUGUCCCAAACUCAUCGGACUUGGAAUCUACCUCCCAAGGUAGAAACUUAGAGGCGGCAAACAUUAUUGAUAAAAUGUCCAAUGGCGCAGACGAGAAUGAUUUGCUGGAAUUGUCAUCAUCAGUUACGUCUUUUGAAAUCCAAGUUAGUUUGUACUCUAUUGAAAUUGACCUUAUAGCUCACAUAGAUAGUGAGACUACAACGUUAACAAACUUUGAAGACACAGUGCUUCUCGAAGUUCCGCAAGGAACUGG